AAGAGCACCUCGGGCAUACUAUUCCUUCUCGGGAAUAGUCCCGUCAGCUGGCAAUCGGUGAGGCAGAAGGUUGUCGCCGUAUCUUCGUGCGAGGCGGAGUACAUCGCGGCAGCUACAGCGGCUUGUCAAGGCAUUUGGCUUGCUCGCCUUCUCGGCGAGAUGCUGAAUCAGGACACCGCCCCUGCGCUCAUCUUCGUCGACAACAAGUCGGCGAUUUCCCUCUGCAAGAAUCCAGUGCUUCAUGACCGCAGCAAGCACAUCGAUCUCCGCUCUCACUUCAUACGUGGCUGCGUCGAGAAAGACACGGUGAUCGUGGAGUUCAUCAGGACUGGUGAGCAGAAGGCGGACAUCCUGACCAAGUCACUUGGCCGUGUCCGGUUCCAGGAAUUGCGCGACAAAGUCAGGCUCAUGGACAUCAAGCUCCUUCGACAAGGUUGAGGGGGAGAUUGUUGAGUCAACCAGGG
rnacentral:rRNA from 1 species